AGUGGCCCCGGACUCGAGCCGCGCCCCCACCGUGGCUGCCCGGGUCCCUGUCCAAGACCCCCCACGGACUUCUCUCCCUGUCCCCGGCACAAGCCCGGACGAAAACCCUUAACCGCGUGGGCUUCAAACGUCCAGCUUCCGGGUUGUUAGGUGUUGAGGUUUGAAAGAAAUGAUCAUUUCAGUGGCUUGCAGGAAUGGCAAGGGAGGAGGGACCUUGAAGUGUUGUCACACUUGGGAAAAUAACGCGCUGGUUUCCUAACUCGGGGAGCGAUCAAAAUAAAGGAAUGUGUACUUCAGAAGCCACAUCCAAAAUACAUGCAACUGGCGGAGGAAGGAUUUGUGGUUGCUAAGCAGUGGCAGAGCAUGUUUAGCUCUGUAACUUAGGAUGUUGACUUAAGUUCAGGAAUGUAACCCUGAUAGAAUAAGCAGAGUGUUUUCAUUGUGCAGCUCACCUGGGGGAGGGGGAUUGUUUUCCUUGUUAAGUGAAGCCCUAGAUUUCCCAUUACUCCUUUCUACUGAUGCAUGUUAUUUUAUUGAUCUUGUAUCCAAAAAGAUUUUGAAAGAGGUUUUAGAAAAGAAUCCCCUAUGUCUGUUUUGUGUUCUCCUUUGCCAUAAAAACAAAACACCUCAUUACUUUACAUGGAUUGUGUCUACACCAUUUGAAUGGUUCUAUUCAUAAAUCAGGAAACUUUUUCUGUUGCUUCUAGGAACUUUUAAUUGGUUUUAAUCCAAUGUUUCAAUCCCAGAAUCAAAUAUAAAUGAACAAUUAACUUCUUGAGCUUUUGUGCACUUGGGAAACUAUUAUAUUUCAUGUAUUGCUGAAAUAUUUCAGUUUGUCAUCACACUGGACCUAUUCUUUUCAGAAAAGCAUGAGCUAACUAACAUCUCCUUUCAUACUAACUACAACACACCCCUGUGGUUCUGCUGCCAGAUUAGAGUGAACAAUAAUCAACAGGAUAUGUGUCUAUUCAUUUCAAGGACAUGAUGUGGGAUAUCAGUUCAUCCCAAGGAAGCCAAAAUGAGCUCAUAUACAGAAUAUUAAGAUACUGAUAUCCUUAAUCAUAUACUCUUUUUUUUUUAAGGAACAAGAACCAAGAAUGAACAAAGGAAGAAACAAGGGAAAAUCUGAAGAAAAGCAUCAGCAUUUCCCUAAAGGAAUUCAACUAAUCCAUAUCACACAUAUAGAAGUACUUAACACAGAAAAAUUUAAAAACCUGGAAGCAAAAGUGAAUUUGUAGAAAAUGAAAACAUUCUGGGGAUAGACGUUAAAAGUUAUUACCAAGAUCAUUAACAGAGAAGAAAAGCAGGCAAUUCCCACAAAUAGGAAAGUAAAACACUGUAACACCAAAGGGGAAAAAACCUACUUAAGUACAAGAAACCUGAGGGUCUCACUAUGUAGUGAAAUUGACCUGGAACUCACU